ensembl:snRNA U6 U6 spliceosomal RNA
GUACUCACUUUGGCAGCACAUAUACUAAAAUUGGAACGAUACAGAGAAGAUUAGCAUGGGCCCUGUGCAAGGAUGAAAUUCGUGAAGCGUUCCAUAUUUUU